CCGGAGGGUGAGUGCCGUUGAGCGCACGCUCAGAGCAGACCGCUAGCAGGAGGCAGGAUGUGAUAGUCUAAGACCCUGGAAGCUGAUGGCCAGAGGGAGGGAAAGGUAGUCACAGAGGAGAGGCAAAGCAACGGGAGGUGGAGGAUCCUGGAGGUGACUGCAAGGAGAGUACGCAGUGGCGAGGGGCUGCAGAAGCGGACCCAGCGACUUCUGCGCCGACGCGGGGCGGGCGGGAGAGAGGAAGACAGGGGAGCGCGGUGGCGCUGCGGGCUGGCCCCGCCGGGGAGGGGGCUGCCAUGUCCCGUGAGCGGCCCCCGGGCACCGACAUUCCCCGCAACCUGAGCUUUAUUGCCGCGCUAACGGAGCGCGCCUACUACCGUAGCCAGCGGCCCAGCCUCGAGGAGGAGCCGGAGGAGGAGCCAGGCGAGGGCGUGACGCGGUUCGGGGCACGAUCCCGCGCUCACGCACCUAGUCGGGGCCGCCGGGCCCGCUCAGCACCAGCCGGAGGCGGCGGGGCUCGGGCGCCCCGCAGCCGUAGCCCAGACACCCGCAAGAGAGUGCGUUUCGCGGACGCACUGGGGUUGGAGCUGGCUGCCGUGCGCCGCUUCCGUCCCGGUGAGCUGCCCAGGGUGCCCCGCCACGUGCAGAUCCAACUGCAGAGGGACGCCCUCCGCCACUUCGCGCCCUGCCAGCCCCGCGCCCGCGGCCUCCAGGAGGCGCGCGCAGCCCUGGAGCCUGCCAGCGAGCCAGGCUUCGCCGCCCGCUUGCAGGCGCAGCGCAUCUGCCUGGAACGCGCGGAGGCGGGCCCGAUGGGCGUGGCCGGGAGCGCGCGCGUGCUGGACCUGGCCUACGAGAAGCGCGUGAGCGUGCGCUGGAGUGCGGACGGCUGGCGGAGCCAACGCGAGGCGCCCGCGGCCUACGCCGGCCCGGCCCCGCCUCCGCCGCGCGCCGACCGCUUCGCCUUCCGCCUGCCCGCGCCGCCGAUUGGGGGCGCCCUGCUCUUCGCUUUGCGCUACCGUGUGACAGGUCACGAGUUCUGGGACAACAACGGCGGCCGUGACUAUGCUCUACGUGGGCCCGAGCACCCGGGCAGUGGCGGAGCCCCUGAGCCCCAGGGCUGGAUCCACUUUAUCUGAGACGAGGCGCCUGCAGCCGACGGCUGAAAACACCAAAGGCACCCGGGGGCGGGGGGACCCGAUGUGGCGGGGAGGAAUAGGAGAGACCGGGAUUGGCGGGGAGCGGUGCAAGGGAGUCAAGCCGAAGAGGGCGAGAAUGGUGGGGAAAUCAGGGACGUGGGGGCGGGGAGGCCGGGGGAGUGGGCGGAACCAACGAAGCUCAGGGAGAUCCGGGUGUUAAAAGCUGGUUGGAUGUGAGUGAAAGGGACCCAGACUGUAGGAGGAAGGAGACCCGAAACGGCACCGGAGGGAUUAGAAAAAAAGGAAAAGAAUGAGGAUGAUGGUGGCUUUCCCUUCAGUGAGUGGGCACUGGGAGAAAGGGAGGAGGAGGUCCAUCAGGCCUAGGCAGUUGAAGAAGGUUAAGAACCUUUUGGAGACGGAGGAGGUAUGAUGUGAAGUAGCCCACCCAGUCGAAGUCAUUUAGAUUGCUGGCGCAUUCCCUCUUCUUACCCACCUUUCCACCUCAGAUCCCCCUGUCCUACCCAUCCUAGCUUUAACUCAGCCAUAAUUGCCUUGCCUAAUCCCAGGAACCUGGCCACUGCUCCUUGGUCCUUGGCAUUAUGACGGGAUUCCCUUGUUACCUCUGACAGUUCCCGGCUGCGGUGUCCGCGGACUGGCUGGGGAGUGAUGACAGGUAGCCAUCAGAGCUCCAGCCUCCAGGCAGCUUUAGGGAUUAAAAUGGAGGCCAAAGCAACUCCAGACCUGUUUUUAUAGCCAAAUACUGUGGUGCCUCAGGGGUUGUACACUCAGGGGCUUCCAGGAAAAUGCCAACCUUACUUUUCUGGGGUGCCUUUUAAUAACCUCCAAGCACUUUAUGGACUGUUUGUCGAGGGACGGUGAAUCAGGAGAAUGACUAUUCUGAUUUCCUUUGUCUCCGAAAAGGAAUUCCCUGACUAGCUAUAUAACUUUGGGCAAGUUACUUCACCUCUUUGUGCCCCAGUUUUUUCCUUGGAAAAUUGGAUUUAGGUUAGAUGAUCUUUUAAGGCUCCUUGUAUGAUAUUUUGUGAUCUGUACAUGGCAGAGUAUAGAUUAGAAGCCACAUUUUGCAACCUAGUGCUAUGAUUCAGAAUACAUAGUACCCCAAGCAUCUGGCUCGGGCCGAGGAUGGGUCCUCCAGUUCUCGGCACAGAAGUUCCAGAGCCCACGAAGCAUCCCAUAACCAACCAUCAGCCCAUCAUCUGCUCCAUUUUGCUCUUGCCCUCACAGACUUUCAGCCUCCAUGCUCUGAGACAACUGUGGAUAGGUACAUCUCUUUUGGUGAAAAUGAUGCUUGAGAACCCAAAAGAUUAAAGGAAAAUGUUAGGGGCUUUUGUGGGGAUAAAAGAUAAUGGGUAUGUGGAAUAGAAACAUUUCAAAUGAAGAAUCAAAACAUUUCAAUCAAUCCACUUGAUUGUAAAAAAACAAAACAAAACAAACAAAUAAAACAGCUAAGCAACUUGAAUAGUAAAUGACACCAGAAGAUGGCAGUCUGCUCCAUAACCAGAGCAAGUGCAGUGGGAAAGCUGGACUCUCAUACCCACUCACAUUCAUGCCUUAUGUCUCCUCCUGGUUAACCUUAAGAGGGGAGUGAUUCCUCUGCUGGCUGCUGUUUUUCCUUUUCUCUUACCCUAUUCCUAACCUCUUUGCUUCUCUCUUUCUUUCCUUGUGUCUCUCCCUUCUCAUCACUUUUUUCUUUUAACAUACAGGGUAUUUACCUUCAUUUUGUCUAUUUCCAUUUGUUUCCUUCUUCAUUCUUGUUCAUCUCUGCUAUUCCUUCUCCCUACAGAAGGGAUGGAAACCCUAUUUUCUUUUCUCCAAGACCAUGGUUGGUCUACUUUCCUCACUCGGGCUCCUUGACAGUCUUCUAGAAGAGAGGAGGAGGAAAAGAAGCAGUUUCUGAUGUUACAAAUGAACAAGGAUCUCCCAGGUAACCAACUCCCCACACCCAUUUCUGUUACUAAUUUCUCAAAGAGAAAUUUCUGGUUCCCCUUCUUCCUUAUCACUGAGUGAAGGGGGACAGGCAUGCACAUGUGCCCAUACAUGCAUUCAGAAUAGAGUGUGGGGGCGGGUGCGAUGGAUCACGCCUGUAAUCCCAGCUCUUUGGGAGGCUGAGGCAGGUGGAUCAUUUGAGGUCAGAAGUUCAAGACCAGCCUGGCCAACAUAGUGAAACCCUGUCUCUACUAAAAAUACAAAACUUUGCCAGGCAUGGUGACUCAUGCCUGUAGUCCCAGCUACUCGGGAGGCUGAGGCAGGAGAAUCACUUUAACGGGGAGAUGGAGGUUGCAGUGAGCUGAGAUUGCGCCACUGUACUCCAGCCUGGGUGACAGUGAGACUCCAUCCCCCACCCCCCAAAAAAGAAGAAGAAUAGAGUAUGGGGCUUGUUACCAUGCCCCUCCUGUCCACAACCUUAGUCUUUGAGAAAAGAUGACUGAAAGAGAGGAACCCUCCAAGUCAUUCCUCAAACAAAUGCCCAUUUAAACAUCAUCCUUGUGAAGAAAACAGGAAGAAUGUCAUGUACCACGUGGAUCACCUUCAGUUCAAAGUUGCAGCAAAGUGAAGAAAGAAACUACUGGAAGCCACCCAGCAAUGCACUGUUUAGUCAUCAAUUAGGAACCCACGGGAGGAUAAUAGGGAGACUGGGUGGAGGCUCAGUUUGUAAUAAUCUCUUGUCUAAUGUAUGUGUGUCACUGCCAUGUUGUAUUAACAAUAGUGAGGGCUCACAUUUACUUAAUACUUGUGUGCUAAAAUCUGUUUUUUCUUUCCAGAACUAUGAUUCGAUCGUAAAAUCUGUUUUGUUUGCGUGCAUGCCCAAAACAACCCUAUGAGUAGAACAUUAUCAUUAUGUAUGUUUUAGAGGUGAGGAAACGGGAUCAGAGAAGCUCAGUGAUUUGUUCAAGAUCGCACAGCUAGUAAAUGGCGGAAGUAGGAUUGUGAACCCAGGGAAUCUCCAGAGCCUCUGUGUAACCAUGAUGUUAUACUUUUUUCCUCUUUAAAAACAAAAUUAAAAACCUUGCUAUAAUCUCUUAUUAUGAAAAGACCGUAGUUUCUGAUUGUGCUCUGCCUUCCCAUCCUGCCAAUCUUCUGGACUGGCUUGGAGAAGACAGGGGGCCCCCAAGCUUCAUCUGUGACUCAAAGGAGUUUGCUCCUGUCUCCUGUGUCAGUGUCCCAUCUAUGCAGGAUCAGCACAGGACCCCCCUCACCUGCCUACUUACACUCUAGCCUUUCCAUACAUUGGAAUUGUCUCCUGGCCCUAGCCAGCACUCCACACCUGUUGGUGUGCCGCCUCCCUCCCUCUUCCCCCACUGGCCUUGAACAGAUAAACCCCCUACUGUUGCCACUAGGUUGGGUCCAUGACUAAGACACCUGCUAGAGGGUCUGUGCUUGGGCCUUUUCUAGGAAUCCUGAUGUUACUGGGUAAGUGCCAACUCUGUGGAGAUAUGCUAAUGAUAAUCCUGUUCCCUAAGCUCUUUCUCUCUGAGAAGUACCCUGGCUCACUCCCCCCAAUCUCAGCUUUAUAGAACAACAUUUUGGUCUUGAUUAUUCCCAUAUUGAGCUGCCCCAAGGCUUGGGUAAGCUGUUAGUUUCCCCACUGCCUCAGGGCUGGGUCUGGCUGAGCUACUUUCUUAUGCACACAAAUAAUGGGUGUCUCCUUGGAACCUGACUUACAUAACUAUCAGUGCUACCAAACCUUGUAAAAUAGGGAAGAAACUAAUAUUUCUUGAGUGGCUCUCUGGAGAGAUUCCCUGCCCUGAUGCCUUUGGUGUGUACUCCUUUCCCAGGACUUCAGCACUGAGAUUUUCCCAACCCCCUGGCUUUUCCUCACUUUGGGUUGAGCUGAUUCAGCACUACCACAAACCCCACCAUCUGCAGAUCAACCAAGAUUAGUCAGUAUGCCCUUUCCGUCUUGCACUGCUCUUCCAAAACUUCCAUCUGUGUUUCUCAUACCCCUAGUAAGCAAAGCUGAGUGUUCUGGGAGAGAGCUGCAUCCACUGCUUUCUCCCAGCCAGGUGCAGUCUAAUCUGACACGGGGAACACUAGAAGUUUAGCGGAAUCUUCAGCCACCCUAUUAAUGUGUUACACAUAGGCAUUGUGGUGGAAACUCCUCUGACGGCUCAUGACUAUAUGAACAGGAGCAAUUUGGAAUAUAACAUGUCAGCUGUGGACUGGGAAGUGCUGUAAGAGAAAACACUACCAGGGUCAUAGGCUUGGGUCCUUGAGGCAAUCCAGCUCUGUUGCCCAUUCCUCUCAUCCAGAUCGCAGCUAUCUUCCUACACCUACCUGUCCCAUAGCUUCCGUCCUGUUUUGUUUGUUUUUCUUUGUGAAUGUAGAAAAACACUGCGAGCCCUAGCUCCUCGGUUUUCCAUCUAACACCUACAUUCCCUUGUUUCUAACUGCUGUUUUUCUGGAGCCUGUUGGGAUCUUUACAGUUUGCAGGUCAUAGAAUCAGACCUGACAAGGCUUCUCUUCAGACAUCAUUGGCUCCAGGCUCCUUUACAGAUGAGAACACAGGUCCAGAGGCGAAAAAGAGAAACAAAAGGCAAUGACAGUAUUCUCUGUGUCCCCAGCUUUGGCACUUUUGUUGAUGUUGCUAAGGAGCAGUGACCUUGCUAAAAAGACUGAAUAAUCCAUCCACUGAAUAGCUAACCUGGGGAGGAACUGAAAAUUUCCUAUGUGAAUCUCCUCAAAUCCAUUGUUGUCACCAGGCCCUCCCAGAGCCUCCCCAGCUCCUUCACAGUGCAACCCUGUGCACUUGGCCCUCAACCCAAUAGUAUUGUGCCUCACUUCGCCUUCCAUGGGCAACUGCCCUCCCUUCUGGACAUAAAACCUCGUAUUUUAAAUAAAGUUGAAAUAUGAAAAGAAAGUA